rnacentral:snRNA from 1 species
CUCACUUCUCGGCCUUUUGGCUAAGAUCAAGUGUAGUAUCUGUUCUCAUAAGUAAAUGUGGCCUAUGUUGCAAAUUCAAAACGUUAUUUCUAAAAUUUUGCUGUAUCAAAUAAACUAUAUCUCAAAUGACAGGCAUGUCAACCCAUA